AAAACAUCAGCCGUCCAGCCCAUCAUAACGUCGAUGACUGCACAAACGGGUCGGCUUUCGGGUUCCCGGGUUGAAAGGAGGUUUCGAAGGCCUUGAAGCAUUUGGCUGUGCAUGACAACAUGGGGGUGAGGAGGCGAAGGUGGUGGUGGUGGUGGAGAUGAGGAGGGUAUUUCAGUAACUUCAAAGAGAGGGUAUUGGUGAAACGAGGAAGGGAUGAUGCUGGUGGCGGAAAUGUGAGAAGGAAUGAUGAGGGUAGAUUUGUAAUUACGAGAAGCGAUUUGCUUGCAUAAUUCAAUGCAUGGAAAUAGA
rnacentral:lncRNA from 1 species